CCUCAAAAAGUCCCCCCCCCCCCCAAAAAAAUAUCUCUGUGCUCUCUCCUUUUCCGUUAAGUGUUCUGCAAAACCUUGCUGGAGCUGAUGCCGUCGAGGGUGGCCCACGUCUUCGCCGUCCUUAAAGCAUCGAACUCCAAGAAGAAGGACCAGCCGUCGUAAAUUUCACGCCGUUGCCGAACUUGAAGAAGAAGACCAGACCUGUAAUCCUCGUCGCCCAGCAUCAUUUCUCUGCCGUCGAUUUGAAGGACUAGUCCAACGCCAUUCGAGAAGUCCAACGUCCAUUCGCGGUCUAGAGUCCGAUCUGCGACAAGCCGAAGCGUCGCACGCGUUCUGUCCAUUAAAAGACCGUUGGCUGCCGGCCUUCGUCGUGCACGGUUAGCUGCUGUAGAAUCGACCUUGGCUGGCUUCUGUUGCCGACUUCAAGCUUCCUUAGCCACUGCCUGAAAGUGAAGCACAUAUGGAGGACAUCAUUGUGGAAUAUGUUACAGAACUGGUACAUAGCCCAGGAUAUUGGAUUGCGGAGAGGAAAGUUGUCAGUUGAGGAUUUCAUUUUCUUGUAUUUGAUUUACAAGAACAACAGAAGUACAGGGGAUGCAUAAAAUGAUCUGGAACAUUUUUUGGCACAUGGUUUGGGAAUGAUAAAGUAACAGUAGCUCUUGACUUAGUAUCCGUGUAUAGUUAAAAAGUGUCUUCCUAAGUGGCUUGUCCUGUUUAAGUUGCUGAUUGCUUAAGAUAGCAGUCAAACUUGAGCUCGAGAAUCAUAAAUUCUCCUUGUAUUAAUUAAUUUCUUCUCAGCUACAACUGGGCAAGAAGCUGAUCAUGGUUGAUCAAUGGAUUCAAAAGAACAGACAAAAACUCAUUUUAUGAUUCCAAACGCUGGUUAGACUCGGAUGGUGAAGAUUUAUAGAGUGUCAAUGGUAGUAAGGAUUUCUUGCAAUGGUUUUUAUAACACUAUAUGGUGAACCAAGGUUGCUUCGGCCAACUGAUAAGUGUUCUCAUUUAUUCAUCUACAUAUUUAUGUUCUUUAUAGCGCUGACGGUAUUGUGGAAGACACUCCCCCCACCCCCCUGUUUUGGGUAAUAUUUCUGUUCUUAUCAUCUAAUAUUUAGAAGAUUAGAUUAAAAAUCUUUGCGCUAAUUUUGCAAUUGGAGUUGUUGAUUGGGAUUGUAGUUACCAAAUUCAUAAAAAUAUUGUUUGUUUCAUUUUAAAUGAAAGUAUAUUUUAUUAUCA